UUAUAAAAAUUUCAUCAAUUUGUAUUCUUAAAAACUAGCAUGGCAUGGCUGACAAAAUAAUCAUACAAUAACAUAUGGCGUGUCAUGUGUACUUCAUGCUAGCUUACAUGAACCACUUUUUAAUUGUAGAAAUGGUUUGAAUUUUUAAUA
rfam:Gossypium hirsutum cultivar TM-1 chromosome 5, whole genome shotgun sequence